CCUACGGGAGGCAGCAGUGGGGAAUAUUGCACAAUGGGGGAAACCCUGAUGCAGCGACGCCGCGUGAGUGAAGAAGUAUCUCGGUACGUAAAGCUCUAUCAGCAGGGAAGAAAAUGACGGUACCUGACUAAGAAGCCCCGGCUAACUACGUGCCAGCAGCCGCGGUAAUACGUAGGGGGCAAACGUUAUCCGGAUUUACUGGGGGUAAAGGGAGCGUAGACGGCAGCAGAAGUCUGGAGUGAAAUCCCGGGGCUUAACCCCGGAACUGCUUUGGAAACUGUGCGGCUGGAGUGCAGGAGGGGUAAGCGGAAUGCCUGGUGUAGCGGUGAAAUGCGUAGAUAUUAGGAGGAACACCGGUGGCGAAGGCGGCUUACUGGACUGUAACUGACGUUGAGGCUCGAAAGCGUGGGGAGCAAACAGGAUUAGAUACCCGGGUAGUC
rnacentral:rRNA from 1 species